UACAGAGGGGGCAAGCGUUGUUCGGAAUUACUGGGCGUAAAGGGCGCGUAGGCGGCCUGCUAAGUCGAACGUGAAAUCCCUCGGCCCAACCGAGGAACUGCGCCCGAGACUGCUUCUCUUGAGUCCCGGAGAGGAAGAUGGAAUUCCCGGUGUAGCGGUGAAAUGUGUAGAGAUCGGGAGGAACACCGGUGGCGAAGGCGGUCUUCUGGACGGUGACUGACGCUGAGGCGCGAAAGCGUGGGGAGCAAACGGG
rnacentral:rRNA from 1 species